CGCUGGCGGCUGGCCUAACACAUGCAAGUCGAACGAACUCUUCGGAGUUAGUGGCGGACGGGUGAGUAACACGUGGGAACGUGCCUUUAGGUUCGGAAUAACUCAGGGAAACUUGUGCUAAUACCGAAUGUGCCCUUCGGGGGAAAGAUUUAUCGCCUUUAGAGCGGCCCGCGUCUGAUCAGCUAGUUGGUGAGGUAAAGGCUCACCAAGGCGACGAUCAGUAGCUGGUCUGAGAGGAUGAUCAGCCACAUUGGGACUGAGACACGGCCCAAACUCCUACGGGAGGCAGCAGUGGGGAAUCUUGCGCAAUGGGCGAAAGCCUGACGCAGCCAUGCCGCGUGAAUGAUGAGGGUCCUAGGAUUGUAAAAUUCUUUCACCGGGGACGAUAAUGACGGUACCCGGAGAAGAAGCCCCGGCUAACUUCGUGCCAGCAGCCGCGGUAAUACGAAGGGGGCUAGCGUUGCUCGGAAUUACUGGGCGUAAAGGGAGCGUAGGCGGACAUUUAAGUCAGGGGUGAAAUCCCGGGGCUCAACCUCGGAAUUGCCUUUGAUACUGGGUGUCUUGAGUAUGAGAGAGGUGUGUGGAACUCCGAGUGUAGAGGUGAAAUUCGUAGAUAUUCGGAAGAACACCAGUGGCGAAGGCGACACACUGGCUCAUUACUGACGCUGAGGCUCGAAAGCGUGGGGAGCAAACAGGAUUAGAUACCCUGGUAGUCC
rnacentral:rRNA from 1 species